rnacentral:rRNA from 1 species
GACGAAGGGGGCUAGCGUUGUUCGGAAUUACUGGGCGUAAAGCGCGUGUAGGCGGUUUCCCAAGUCGGGUUUGAAAGCCUUGAGCUCAACUCAAGAAAUGCACUCGGUACUGGGUGACUAGAGGACCGGAGAGGAUAGUGGAAUUCCCAGUGUAGUGGUGAAAUACGUAGAGAUUGGGAAGAACACCAGUGGCGAAGGCGGCUAUCUGGACGGUUUCUGACGCUAAGACGCGAAAGCGUGGGGAGCAAACAGG